rnacentral:rRNA from 1 species
GAUGAACGCUGGCGGCGUGCCUAAUACAUGCAAGUCGAGCGAACGGACGAUAAGCUUGCUUCUCUGAUGUUAGCGGCGGACGGGUGAGUAACACGUGUAUAACCUACCUAUAAUACUGGGAUAACUUCGGGAAACCGGAGCUAAUACCGGAUAAUAUUUUGCACCGCAUGGUUCAAAAGUGAAAGACGGUCUUGCUGUCACUUAUCGAGGGAUCCGCGCUGCAUUAGCUAGUUGGUAAGGUAACGGCUUACCAAGGCAACGAUGCAUAGCCGACCUGAGAGGCUGGUAGGCGACACUAGAACUGGGCCACGGUCAAGACUACUGAGGGAGGCAGCAGUAGGGAAUCUUACGCAAUGGGCGAGAGCCUGACGGAGCAACGCGGCGUGAGUGAUGAAGGUCUUCGGAUCGUAAAACCCUCUUAUGAGGGAAGAACAUAUGUGGACGGAACUGUACCCAUAUUGACGGUAACUAAUCAGAAAGCAACGGCUAACUACGUG